GUAGCAAUCAAUGAAACAAUAGCAUCAUACAUAACAACCACCCGGUGCCUGCAUGCGCAGCUAACACCGCGACAAAUACAAAGUGCUUUCAAUUAAACUCAUUUGCUCAGUUUCGUCUAAACAACCUGUAAAUUCAGUCGAGAAACUGAUUUUCAAGCUCAACAAGUUUGGCUGGAUUUCCUGUCGUCCUAUUUCAGUAACCCGAAUACGCCUGUAGCUGAAGAAGAAACCUUGAAAAUACAAUGGCAUCACGAACACGUUUGAUAGUGGUUAGUGUGGUGGUGUUGAUGAUGUUGGUUGGGUUUCAGGAGCACUCAGUAACUGCAGAGGGUGAAGUAGCUCAAAGUGGAGUCAUUCCAUGGGCAUCUUGGGUUUCAUACCUGAGACGUGAAGCGGAAGUACGUCUCCGUAAGAGAGAGACACGUGACUGUGACACCACCAACACCAACGAGGCCGCGGAACCUAACAAAUAAGGUUUGGUUGGUGAUCAAUGUCCUGUAUUAUGGCAAAGUCUUAUCUCUUAGUGCCACAUGGUGUGCGCCAUUAAACCAGCUAGCUGCCGAGUUCAACCCUUGACCCUGCACAGUCUGUUGGCGACAUUGACGCAUCACACAGGAAAUGUUUUUGACUUUUAUUAUUUUAAAGACUUUCAAAAUCUAAUUAUUAAGUUUUCUUUUCAACAACCUGAUGAGAACACCGGGAUACGAAACAUGAGAAACAAUGGGCCUAGCCUAUACGGGAAUGCAUUGCGGAAACUCAACAGAGGCCCUGGUUUGAACAAGAUAACAGGGCGACCAUGGUAAAACAGCAUAACUCAGACAUUUUUGUUUCUUAAAUAUUAAGAUAAUUUCUGGUGGAAUCGAGGGCUUUAUUAUUUUAAUGUUUGAAAUGCGUACUAUGUUUGUUUGUGAAUAUAACUUGUUCUAUCACAACCUCUUUUAAAAAUUUCAUCUAAUUUUAUGGCAAAAGAACAUAUCUCCGUGUUUGCAUGAUUUUCUCAAAAUUGAUUUUUUUUUAGUUGGGCUCUUUUGCCAUAUGGACGGUCCGAGGGGGUCGACAGUUUCCGGAAUUAGGUUGAAGGGUGCACCCCAUUUAAUGAACUCCCAUAGAAUACAAUGUACAAUGCUUAAUAUUCAAAAACACGAAAAAUACUUAGAAGUCUGACAGCUUUUUACAGUAGAGGGGAUUAUUCAUUAUUCUCGAGCCUGCAUCAAUACACCCCUACACCAGUGUAAUUUUUCCAAACGUCCGAGCAUCAAUCUUGAAAAAUGUCCCUAAUACCUCUCAGCAACUAGGACCAGUUUUUAAGGGCCUUUAUGCAUAUCAUCCAAGUUAUGUUAUCAAGUUGGAAGUCAACAACCCCAGGUCACUAUUCGGCCGUUGUUGAACCCCCUUUCGGAGGCCCUCAAUGCUCAAACAAACAAUUAGUGACAUCGUUGUUUUGUUUUCUCCUUGGGGUGCAUCCGGUACUUUUUGAAGCUUUGACGGCGGCUUGUUGCUCUGUCGAACUUGUUUCAAUAAAAUACCGACGCCUAUAGACCUCUAUCACGGUGUGUGGUCAUCUUGAUUUUACUUCAUUCCAACUCAUUACGGUAAUCAAACUGAGGCUGGACGAAAUAAUAGUCUGGUGCCAUGCGCAAUGAAUGUUAGCAUUAAUUACUGUUAUUGGAAACAGGGAACUUGACCAAGAUAGUGACAGCGUGAUAAAGGUAUUUAUAGGCCACAAUUUAGAAAAGAGACAAACGAUGUGUACGUAACAAUUUGAGAGUAAUGACGUUAUCAAUGUUAUCAAUAUUAAAGACAUUGGACACUAUUGGUUAUAAUAA